rnacentral:tRNA from 1 species
GAGGGCAUAGCUCAGUGGUAGAGCAUCCGACUGCAGAUCGGAUUGUCCCCGGUUCAAACCCGGGUGCCCCCU